UGCCAGCAGCCGCGGUAACACGGGGGGCGCAAGCGUUAUCCGGAUUCAUUGGGUUUAAAGGGUGCGCAGGCGGAACUUUAAGUCAGUGGUGAAAUCUUGCCGCUUAACGGUAAAAUUGCCAUUGAUACUGAAGUUCUUGAAUAUGGUUGAGGUAGGCGGAAUGUGUUGUGUAGCGGUGAAAUGCAUAGAUAUGACACAGAACGCCGAUUGCGAAGGCAGCUUACUAAGCCAUAAUUGACGCUGAGGCACGAAAGCGUGGGGAGCGAACAGGAUUAGAUA
rnacentral:rRNA from 1 species